rnacentral:rRNA from 1 species
UACGAAGGGGGCUAGCGUUGCUCGGAAUUACUGGGCGUAAAGCGCACGUAGGCGGCUUCUUAAGUCGGUGGUGAAAUCCUGGAGCUCAACUCCAGAACUGCCUUCGAUACUGGGAGCUCGAGUCCGGGAGAGGUGAGUGGAACUGCGAGUGUAGAGGUGAAAUUCGUAGAUAUUCGCAAGAACACCAGUGGCGAAGGCGGCUCACUGGCCCGGUACUGACGCUGAGGUGGCGAAAGCGUGGGGAGCAACAGG